rnacentral:rRNA from 1 species
GCUGGUGAUGGGGGAGCAGAUGAAAGGGGGUGCAUGUGGUCGUAAGUUCGUGUUGGAGAUGUAAAUUAUGGCCAGGGGAGGGCAGCCGUUGAUCUUAAGUCCACCAUUAAGUGGGGCUUUCUAAGGUGACUGCCGGUGACAAUCCGGAGGAAGGUGGGGAUGACGUCAAAUCAUAAUCCCCUUAGACCUGGGCUGAACGCGGCUACAAUGGCCGGUACAAAGACUGCAAGCCGCGAGGGGGAGCUAAUCUCAUAAAACCGUUCUCAGUUGGGAUUGUAGCUGCAAUCGCCUACAUGAACUGGAUCGUUAGUAAUCGCGGAUCACCAUACCGCGGUGAAUCGUUCCCGGCCUUGUCACCCCCCCAUCGCAGCACGAGAGUUGGUACACCCGAAGUCGGUGGGGGUAAACCCCUUUU